rnacentral:rRNA from 1 species
UGCAGUCGACGGUACAGGAGCAGCUUGCUGCUUCGCUGACGAGUGGCGGACGGGUGAGUAUGUCUGGGAACUGCCUGAUGGAGGGGGAUAACUACUGGAACGGUAGCUAAUACCGCAUAACGUCGCAAGACCAAAGAGGGGGACCUUCGGGCCUCUUGCCAUCGGAUGUGCCCAGAUGGGAUUAGCUAGUAGGUGGGGUAACGGCUCACCUAGGCGACGAUCCCUAGCUGGUCUGAGAGGAUGACCAGCCACACUGGAACUGAGACACGGUCCAGACUCCUACGGGAGGCAGCAGUGGGGAAUAUUGCACAAUGGGCGCAAGCCUGAUGCAGCCAUGCCGCGUGUAUGAAGAAGGCCUUCGGGUUGUAAAGUACUUUCAGCGGGGAGGAAGGGAGUAAAGUUAAUACCUUUGCUCAUUGACGUUACCCGCAGAAG